GCCUCAGCCUCCCGAGUAGCUGGGACUACAGGCGCCCGCCAUCACGCCCGGCUAAUUUUGUGUAUUUUUUAGUAGAGACGGGGUUUCACCGUGUUAGCCAGGAUGGUCUCGAUCUCCUGACCUCGUGAUCCGCCCGCCUCGGCCUCCCAAAGUGCUGGGAUUACAGUCUGGAGCCACCGCGCCCGGCCCUGAGGUUGGGUCUUUGAGAUAUUGACGUUUACACAAAGAGGUCAUCAUCAUCUGAUAUUUGAGAAGGACUCUGGAGUCGGACCAAAGGCCUAUUGAAAGAUCCAAGCCACUGCAAAUUGACUUGGCAGAGGAAGAUCCUCUUGAAUAGGAAAGAAAACCAGCACAGUGUCACUUGCAGCAGCAAACACCAUAUGCUUGACUCAGCAUCCAUUACUGGGGAGGUGACAGAGCCAGAGAAACACAAAUCUGACAAGUAGGGCAAUCCUUUGUCAAUCGGAGCACAACAUUUCUCUCUCUCAAAUCAGUUUAAAGGACAUGUUCUUUGCCAAGAAGCUCCACAGAAACCUGAAAAUGUAUGCUUUUAUUAUGAUGGGUUUUCAUUUCAAUUUUGAAAUUCUGGGACAACUGCUUAAAAAGGAAAAGAAAAGAUGUGAUAGAAGGGAAAGCACAUUCAGCUAAGACAGGUUUCUUGUCAAGAUCUAAAAUAUGUCAAGACACACUUCUGUCUUUCUUGAGGAUAGAAAGUAAUUGGGAGGGGAAGGAAUACACAGAACCCUUGAAUGAGACUUGCUGUUCCUGGCUGCUUAGACUUUAGAGAAUAAUGAAAAAUAAAUUUACUGUUGGCUAAAAUGUUUGUGAAAAUGGGCAUUGUAUUUCAGGGGAUUUCAAAGCUGUAAUGAAUAAAUAAGAUUAGUUUCAUCAUGAAAGCAGUAGUUUUUAAGGGAAUUUUGAAUAAAUCACAUGAGCAAGAAAAUAGAAGUAUGAUUUGAGAAUUUAAAUUAUACAUUUUUUUGAAUGAGUGCAGUAGCAGAGUAACAGUGAAACAGCUUGAGAAAACUUUUUCUCCUCCUUUUCAUAGCCCCUGAACCAAAUGAUAAAAUAAUAAAUUAAAGUAUAUAGAAUUAAACUUAAUAAUAAGUGGAAGUGGUUUUAUAAAGAUAAGGGAAUUUCAGAAAAUGCAAGACAUAUUUAUCAAGAGAAUAUAUGUUGUAUAUAACAUUGUAUUUGAUACUUUUUUGAUUGAUUACAUUUGUUAAGUUAUAAAAUACCUUUUCAUUGAAAUAAAUCAAAGUUGUAUAUAGGAAAAUGUCCAUAUUCCCCUCCUCACCUUUAACCCUACCCCUCUGGUAAUCAGUACUAACAACAUGGAGUGUAUCCCUUCACAUUUCAUCUUGAUAACCAAUAAAAAUGUUUUAAUUAUUCUUAGACCAAACUUGGAAUUCAUUGCAAACAUGAAUCAUGUAUGAUUGAACUAUGUACCUUAGUAAAUAAAUAAUAAUCAAAAUAAACAGAUGAAUUAA
ensembl:lncRNA novel transcript